GUCCCGGUGGCCGAGUGGUUAAGGCGUUGCCCUGCUAAUUCAGGCAGUGGGUUAUGCCCGCGCAGGUUCGAAUCCUGUCCGUGACG